rnacentral:rRNA from 1 species
AUCGAACGCUGGCGGCAGGCCUAACACAUGCAAGUCGAACGAGUGGCGGACGGGUGAGUAAUGUCUGGGCAACUGCCUGAUGGAGGGGGAUAACUACUGGAAACGGUAGCUAAUACCGCAUACCAUACGAUGUGCCCAGAUGGGAUAAGCUAGUAGGUGGGGUAAAGGCUCACCGAGGGGACGAUCCCUAGCUGGUCUGAGAGGAUGACCGGCAACAUUGGAAUUGGGACACGGUCCAGACUCCUACGGGAGGCAGCAGUGGGGAAUAUUGGACAAGGGGGGAAAGCCUGCUGCAGCCAGGCGGCGUGGAUGAAGAAGGCGUUCGGGUUGUAAAGUACGUUCAGCGGGGAGGCGUUACCCGCAGAAGAAGCACCGGCUAACUCCGUGCCAGCAGCCGCGGUAAUUC